rnacentral:rRNA from 1 species
GACGAACGCUGGCGGCGUGCUUAACACAUGCAAGUCGAACGGAAAGGCCUCUUUCGGGGGGUACUCGAGUGGCGAACGGGUGAGUAACACGUGAGUAGCCUGCCCUUGACUUUGGGAUAACUUCAGGAAACUGGGGCUAAUACCGGAUAGGAGCUCCUGCUGCAUGGUGGGGGUUGGAAAGUUUCGGCGGUUGGGGAUGGACUCGCGGCUUAUCAGCUUGUUGGUGGGGUAGUGGCUUACCAAGGCUUUGACGGGUAGCCGGCCUGAGAGGGUGACCGGCCACAUUGGGACUGAGAUACGGCCCAGACUCCUACGGGGGGCAGCAGUGGGGAAUAUUGCACAAUGGGUGGAAGCCUGAUGCAGCAACGCCGUGUGCGGGAUGACGGCCUUCGGGUUGUAAACCGCUUUCGCUCAUGACGAAGCUUUGUGUGACGGUAGUGGGUAAAGAAGCACCGGCUAACUACGUG